rnacentral:tRNA from 1 species
GGGUUCGGUGCCUACAUGAGUGCCGGUCAACGCGGAGAAAUGCCGUCUUGGUCGGACUUUUAAUCCGUUGGUCGCGUGUUCGAGUCACGCACGACCCACCA